AUUGAACGCUGGCGGCAGGCCUAACACAUGCAUGUCGAACGAGUGGCGGACGGGUGAGUAAUGUCUGGGAAACUGCCUGAUGGAGGGGGAUAACUACUGGAAACGGUAGCUAAUACCGCAUUCCAUCAGAUGUGCACAGAUGGGAUUAGCUUGUUGUGGGGGUAACGGCUUACCAAGGCGACGAUCCCUAGCUGGUCUGAGAGGAUGACCAGCUCUACGGUAAAGGAUAUACGGUCCAGACUCCUACGUGAGGCAGCAUUGGGGAAUAUUGCACAAUGGGCGCUAGCCUGAUGCAGCCAGGCCGCGUGUAUGAAGAAGGCCUGCGGGUUGUAAAGUCCUUUCAGCGGGGAGGCGUUACCCUCAGAAGAAGCACCGGCUAACUCCGUGCCAGCAGCCGCGGUAAUAC
rnacentral:rRNA from 1 species